GGGGUAGUGGCGGAAUGGUAGACGCGCUGGUCUUAGGAACCAGUGUCUUCGGGCGUGAGAGUUCGAGUCUCUCCUACCCUA
rnacentral:tRNA from 1 species